CCCAAUCUCAUCUGUGAUCACUUUAACCCUUUCAAUAUACACAAAUGGGUCAUCCCCUUUUUCAUACUGAGGAGCACCCAAUUUCAUGUAGUCAGUCAUCUUAACCUUGCUCCCACUGGCUGAGCUAGGUCUAGGUGGCUGAACAACUGGGGCUGCUAGUUCUGCAGGUGGUGGAGGUGGUACAACAUUUUCUGAGGUAGGGUUUGCUGGAUUUGGAUAGUAGGGUGGAGGUGGAUACAUUGGGUACUGAGAGUACGGUGGGUAGUAUGGUGGGUAUGGCAUCUGUGUGGGAUAAGGGGUGAAACUAGGGUAAUCCGAUG
rnacentral:lncRNA from 1 species